GACGAACGCUGGCGGCGUGCUUAACACAUGCAAGUCGAACGGUGAAGGAGAGCUUGCUCUCCGGAUCAGUGGCCAACGGGUGAGGAACACGUGGGCAACCUGCCCCUAACUCUGGGAUAACGCUUCGACAGGAGCGCUAAUACCGUAUAUGACCGCUGGACACAUCCCCAGUGGUGGAAAGUUCUUACGGUUAGGGAUGGGCCGGGGGCCUAUCAGCUUGUUGGUGGGGUAAGGGCCUACCAAGGCGACGACGGGUAGCCGGCCGGAGAGGGCGACCGGCCACGCUGGGACUGAGACACGACCCAGACGCCUACGGGAGGCAGCGGUGGGGAAUAUUGCGCAAUGGGCGAAAGCCUGACGCAGCGACGCCGCGUGAGGGAUGAAGGCCUGCGGGUUGUAAACCUCUUUCAGCAGGGACGAAGCGAAAGUGACGGUACCUGCAAAAGAAGCACCGGCUAACUACGUGCCAGCAGCCGCCGUAAUAC
rnacentral:rRNA from 1 species